UACGGGGGGGGCAAGCGUUGUUCGGAAUUACUGGGCGUAAAGGGUUCGUAGGUGGCCCGCUAAGUCACACGUGAAAUCCCUCAGCUUAACUGGGGAACUGCGUGUGAGACUGGCAGGCUUGAGUGCAGGAGAGGAACGCGGAAUUCCAGGUGUAGCGGUGAAAUGCGUAGAUAUCUGGAGGAACACCGGUGGCGAAGGCGGCGUUCUGGACUGUAUCUAACACUGAGGAACGAAAGCCAGGGGAGCAAACGGG
rnacentral:rRNA from 1 species